CUUGAACGCAGGCGGCAGGCCUAACACAUGCAAGUCGAACGCGUGGCGGCCGGGUGAGUAAUGUCUGGGAACCUGCCUGAUGGAGGGGGCUCACUACUGGAAACGGUAGCUACUACCGCAUACCAUCAGAUGUGCCCCGAUGGGCUUCGCUUGUUGGUGGGGUAACGGCUCACCAAGGCGACGAUCCCUAGCUGGUCUGCGAGGAUGACUAGCCACACGGGAACUGUGACACGGGCCAUACUCCUACGGGAGGCAGCAGUGGGGAAUAUUGCAAAAUGGGCGCAAGCCUGAUGCAGCCAUGCCGCGUGUAUGAAGAAGGCCUUCGGGUUGUAAAGUACUUUCAGCGGGGAGGCAUUACCCGCAGAAGAAGCACCGGCUAACUCCGUGCCAGCAGCCGCGGUAAUUC
rnacentral:rRNA from 1 species